rnacentral:tRNA from 1 species
AAAGAAUUAGUUAAAUUCAUAUAACAUAAACAUGUCAAGUUUAAAUUAUUUUAAAAUAUUCUUUU